UACGAAGGGGGCUAGCGUUGCUCGGAAUCACUGGGCGUAAAGAGCUCGUAGGCGGUUUGUCGCGUCGAAUGUGAAAACCCGGGGCUCAACCCCGGGCCUGCAUUCGAUACGGGCAGACUAGAGUUCGGUAGGGGAGUCUGGAAUUCCUGGUGUAGCGGUGAAAUGCGCAGAUAUCAGGAGGAACACCGGUGGCGAAGGCGGGACUCUGGGCCGAUACUGACGCUGAGGAGCGAAAGCGUGGGGAGCAAACAGG
rnacentral:rRNA from 1 species